AUUGAACGCUGGCGGCAGGCCUAACACAUGCAAGUCGAGCGGAUGAAGGGAGCUUGCUCCUGGAUUCAGCGGCGGACGGGUGAGUAAUGCCUAGGAAUCUGCCUGGUAGUGGGGGAUAACGUCCGGACACGGGCGCUAAUACCGCAUACGUCCUGAGGGAGAAAGUGGGGGAUCUUCGGACCUCACGCUAUCAGAUGAGCCUAGGUCGGAUUAGCUCGUUGGUGGGGUAAAGGCCUACCAAGGCGACGAUCCGUAACUGGUCUGAGAGGAUGAUCAGUCACACUGGAACUGAGACACGGUCCAGACUACUACGGGAGGCAGCAGUGGGGAAUAUUGGACCAUGGGCGAAAGCCGGAUCCAGCCAUGCCGCGUGGGUGGAGAAGGUCUUCGGAUUGUAGAGCACUUUAAGUUGGGAGGAAGGGCAGUAAGUUCAUACCUUGCUGUUUUGACGGUACCAACAGAAUAAGCACCGGCUAACUUCGUG
rnacentral:rRNA from 1 species